UGGGGAAUAUUGCACAAUGGGCGCAAGCCUGAUGCAGCAACGCCGCGUGAGUGAUGAAGGUUUUCGGAUCGUAAAGCUCUGUCUUUGGGGACGAUAAUGACGGUACCCAAGGAGGAAGCCACGGCUAACUACGUGCCAGCAGCCGCGGUAAUACGUAGGUGGCAAGCGUUGUCCGGAUUUACUGGGCGUAAAGAGAGCGUAGGCGGAUUCUUAAGUGGGAUGUGAAAUCCCCGGGCUUAACCUGGGUGGUGCAUUCCAAACUGGGAAUCUAGAGUGUUGGAGAGGAAAGUGGAAUUCCUAGUGUAGCGGUGAAAUGCGUAGAUAUUAGGAAGAACAUCAGUGGCGAAGGCGACUUUCUGGACAAUAACUGACGCUGAGGCUCGAAAGCGUGGGGAGCAAACA
rnacentral:rRNA from 1 species